CAGCCGCCGCGGGAAUACGAAGGGGGCUAGCGUUGUUCGGAUUUACUGGGCGUAAAGGGUGCGUAGGCGGACUGAUAAGUCAGGGGCGAAAUCCCAAGGCUCAACCUUGGAACUGCCUUUGAUACUGUUAGUCUUGAGUUCGAGAGAGGUGAGUGGAACUGCGAGUGUAGAGGUGAAAUUCGUAGAUAUUCGCAAGAACACCAGUGGCGAAGGCGGCGACCUGGUCCAUAACUGACGCUGAGGCGCGAAAGCGUGGGGAGCAAACAGGAUUAGAUACCCCGGUAGUCCCUGUCUCUUAUAC
rnacentral:rRNA from 1 species